UAAGGGGGAUACAAACGUGUUUUCCUCAGGUGAAUCUCUUUCCCUUUCUCCAGAAGCCCGUGUUGUGUCGAGGAACAGUAACUGCCGCUUUCUGGAGUGGCUGCUAGUGUCACAGGUGCUAACAUUCCCGUUACCUCAGGACAAACCUUCUGUUAUACAGUGCAUUCCACAUCCGUUCCUGCUCUAACUCUGACCUCUUCCACAGAAACCCAUCUCAGCACCUGACUCUUACAUCUUGGCCCAAAACUAUCUGAAAUACACUUUGGUCCUUCAUCUCACCGUGAAAGCAGAUGGACCACUGACUUGUGCUUCAUAGAUGGCCUAGGUUUCCUUCUGUCUUCUAAGAAGUUUUUGAUUUAAGUAACAGCCUGGAGAUAGAAUAUUAAAAGCUCAGAUUAUCAUCCUCAUCGGACAUGAAGACCUACCACUGCCUCAUUGAAGAUGUUGAUGGAGCUGGGGACUGAUCUGUACGCAUGGCAUAUUAACAGUUUGGAUGCAGGAUUUUGAUAUGGAUUGAAAAGAUUGCCAUCAAGCACAGUUGCAGGAUGAAGUGAGAGCAAAGAAAUACUACUCUGUUGGUAUCAAGUACCAAAUCAAGUUCUUCCCACUGCACUGGACCGUCUAAAGGGAAUGUGGACUUUUCUCCUGUAGAGUUAUUUCUCAUGGUGUUAGUUAUUAUCAGAACACUGGGCAAAACUGCAAAGAUGGCACAAUUUAAAUCUUCCUAAUUUCUCAAUGAACUUCUGGUUUCCUCUUUGACCUGCUUUCCAGAGAUCCUGGUCAGAACAUCACCAAGACACUAGUGAGGUAGGGUACCAUAAAGGAAAUGCAACAGGGAAGAUGUUUUAGUCAGGGUAUCCUCUUCUGUGAUAAAACACCUUGACCAAAAGCAAUGUGAGGAGGAAAGGGUUUAUUUCAGCUUACAACUUUCAGGUCACAGUUUAUCACUGAGCGAAGUCAGAAGAGCAGGCAGAGGUUGAUGCGAGGCUAUGGAGGAAGCCUACUGAUUGACUUCUCCUCAUGGUAUGUUUAUCCUGUUUUCUUAUAGCACCUAUUACUACACACCCAAUGGUGAUACUGCCCCCCCUGUGAGAUGGGCCCAACACCAUCAAUCAAUCAGUGAAAAAAAAAAAAACUAAACCAAAUCAACCAAUUAACCAACCAAACAAACCAGGAAACAAAACCCCACAGACUUACCACAGGCCAAAAUGGUGGGGAAAUUUUCUCAAUUGAGAAUACUUCUUCCCAAAUGACUGUGGCAAGUUUACAUACAAACUAGCCAUCACAGAAGUCACCAAGCAAGUGAGAGAUUUUAAGAGUUAUGUUAAGUAUAGACAUCUCAUCCUACAAUUUUGACUCUAUCCACAACCCAUUUCAAUUUACAUAA